rnacentral:rRNA from 1 species
ACGAACGUUGGCGGCGUGCUUCAUACCUGCAAGUCAACUGAAGCAGUGGUAGCAAUAUCGCUGUGGAGGUGGCGCACGGGUGAGUAACACGUAGGUAAUCUGCCUUCAGGUCUGGCAUAACUCCGGGAAACCGGGGCUAAUAGCAGAUGAUGCAGCGGCUCGACGUCGAGACAGUUGUUAAAGCUAUGGCGCCUGAAGAUGAGCCUGCGUCUGAUUAGCUAGUUGGCGGGGUAACGGCCCACCAAGGCAACGAUCAGUAGCUGGUCUGAGAGGAUGAUCAGCCACACUGGAACUGAGACACGGUCCAGACUCCUACGGGAGGCAGCAGUAAGGAAUAUUGCUCAAUGGGAGAAAUCCUGAAGCAGCAACGCCGCGUGAGGGACGAAGGGCUUUUGCUUGUAAACCUCUGUAGUGAGAGAAAAAAAUCCCAAUCUUUGGGACAUGAUGGUAUCUCAAAAGUAAGCCCCGGCUAACUACGUG